rnacentral:rRNA from 1 species
AAAGCUGGUCAAAUGUGAUGUAUCUAGUAGUAUUAGUGAUUAAUAUUAUAUUAACUAAGUUAAUUAAAAUUCGAUGUAGAUAUCUGAUUAUGACAGUAUUUGCUUAUGUCUUGACCAAUUCACGUGCCAGCAGUCGCGGUAAGACGUGUAAGAUAAGUGUUAUUCAUGUUUAACAGGUUUAAAGGGUACCUAGACGGUUAAUCAAACACUGUAAUGUAUUAAUUAACUAGAGUUUGAUAUAAGAAGGAUUGAGUACGGUGAGUGAAGAGAUAAAAUUCUAUUAGACCACUCUGGAACUGGUAAAGGCGAAGGCAACCUUCUAUGUAAAAACUGACGUUAAGGGACGAAGGCUCGUUAAAAAAAACAGGAUUAGAUACCCUGGUAUUUUGGGCAGACAAUGAUGAGUGUCAUAUGCAAGAUGAAUAAUUUUUUGUGUAUAAAUGAAAGUGUAAGCACUCCACCUUAAGAGUAACAUGGCAACAUGGGAACUGAAAUCAUUAGACCGUUUCUGAAACUCGUAGUGAAGUAUGUUGUUUAAUUUGAUAAUCCACAAAUAACCUUACCACAACUUGUAUAACUUUAGCUAAAAGUUACAAGCGUUGCACGGCUGUCUUCAGUCAAUGUUGUGAAACUGUGGUUAGAUCCAUUAAAUUGACGUA